rnacentral:rRNA from 1 species
CCUACGGGAGGCAGCAGUCGAGAGGCUUCGGCAAUGGGGGAAACCCUGACCGAGCGACGCCGCGUGCGGGAUGAAGGCCCUCGGGUCGUAAACCGCUGUCAGGAGGGAAGAAUCCCCUCGGGUUAAUACCCCGAGGGUUGACGGUACCUCCAGAGGAAGCUCCGGCUAACUCCGUGCCAGCAGCCGCGGUAAUACGGAGGGAGCGAACGUUGUUCGGAUUUACUGGGCGUAAAGGGCGUGUAGGCGGUUUUGCAAGUCAGGGGUGAAAUGUACCGGCUCAACCGGUGACUUGCCUUUGAAACUGCAGGACUUGAGGUCGUGAGAGGAAACUGGAAUUCCUAGUGUAGCGGUGAAAUGCAUAGAUAUUAGGAAGAACACCAGUGGCGAAGGCGAGUUUCUGGCACGAUUCUGACGCUGAGGCGCGAAAGCUAGGGGAGCGAACGGGAUUAGAUACCCCGGUAGUCCUAGCCGUAAACGAUGGGUACUAAGUGUUGGCCGAUCGACCCGGUCAGUGCUGCAGCUAACGCGUUAAGUACCCCGCCUGGGGAGUACGACCGCAAGGUUGAAACUCAAAUGAAUUGACGG